CUACGGGUGGCUGCAGUGAGGAAUAUUGCACAAUGGGGGAAACCCUGAUGCAGCAACGCCGCGUGGAGGAUGACGCAUUUCGGUGUGUAAACUCCUUUUAUCAGAGAAGAAAAUGACGGUAUCUGAUGAAUAAGCUCCGGCUAACUCCGUGCCAGCAGCCGCGGGUAAUACGGAGGGAGCAAGCGUUAUUCGGAAUCACUGGGCGUAAAGGACGCGUAGGCGGGUUUUUAAGCCAGGUGUGAAAUCCUAUGGCUCAACCAUAGAACUGCACUUGAAACUGGGGACCUAGAGUAUGGAAGGGGCAGGUGGAAUUAGUGGUGUAGGGGUAAAAUCCGUAGAUAUCACUAGGAAUACCGAAAGCGAAGGCGACCUGCUGGGACAUUACUGACGCUGAGGCGUGAAAGCGUGGGGAGCAAACAGGAUUAGAUACCCCGGUAGUC
rnacentral:rRNA from 1 species